UUUUUUUUUAAUUUCAUUUUAUUUGGGUUUUUUUUUUUAAUACAAAACUUCUUGAAAUUUAUUGAUUCUCAAUUGAGAAUUCACAAUAUAUGAUUGGUGAAAUGGAUGGAUUAUAAAAAGACAAAAUAAUAUAAACAAUUGAGAAAAUGUGAAAAAUAAAGCCAAAAAGAUUAGUAUUUAGUUUUAUUUAUCUCUUCACCUAACCAAAUGCACCAAGAAUUUCUUGGAAGAGAAGAAUAUUACCAAUACGAACAAAAUUAAAAGCCUAAAGUCAGUAUCCUACUUGCGAAGCAACCAUUAAAUUAAAUUUCUAGUAGCCACAUCGUUAGAGUAGAGUGAGCAAUUGUUUCAAUCUUCAGUCUUGUAAGUGAUUUGAUUUGAAUGAGUUGAUUGGGCUAAUUUUUCAAUCCCUGAAUAGUAAAAAGUUUAGUGGUAAUUCCUAUAUAAACUUCAUAUCGGUUUCUUAUAUUGGAUCAAAUCCUAGCUACAACAACUAACAACUUCAGCUCGCUUGCUUUUACAGGAAUUGAAGAAAUGGAAGUUGAAAUCAUUUCAAAAGAAAUUGUCAAACCCUCUUCUUCAACACCGAAGCACCUAACAACGUAUAACCUCUGUCUCCUUGAUCAAUUAGCUCCCCCAGUUUACAUUCCAAUCAUUCUCUUUUAUUCAGCAAGCAGUGAAAAUUUCUGCAAAAAAUCUCAUCACCAGCUGAAAACAUCCUUCUCAGAGACAUUAACCCAUUUCUAUCCUUUCGCCGGACGACUUAAAGACAGCUUUUCUGUUGACUGCAAUGAUGAAGGUGCUCCAUUUGUUGAAGCACACGUAGCUGGAGAAAUGUCUAUGAUACUUGAAGAACCGGAAAACAUCAACUGGAAAAGCUACUGCCAUGUAACCCACAUGACGUCUCACCUGAGAUAAGCUCUCAGGUAAUUGCAGCAGCCCAAGUGAAUUACUUUGAUUGCGGUGGAAUGGCAGUGAGUGUUUGUAUUUGGCAUGCAAUUGCGGAUUCAUCAGCAGUGGCAUCCUUUCUCACUAGCCGGGCUGCAAUUGCCCGCGGUGCUAGUGACGAUAUUGAAGGUGUGAUCUCUGAUUGCGCCUCGCUUUUCCCUCCACAAGACAUGUUAAAUUUCUCGUUGCAUAAUUUCUUGAAGGAGGACUUGUUAAAUAAAAUCAUGACGAAAAGGUUCGUGUUUGAUAGCUCUAAGUUAGCUGCUCUGAGAGAAGAAGUAGGCAAUGGACCGUGUUUGGAACGUCCAACACGAGUUGAGGCUGCGGCAGCCCUCAUUUGGAGUGCUGUGAUGGCUGCAACUAGAGAAGAAAAUGAAAAUGGAACUGAAACUGCCGAGAUCAAUGCUGCAACCAUGGCAGUGGGUCUGCGAAAAAGAAUGAUUCCACAGCUGCCAAAGCUAUCAAUUGGAAGCAUAUUUCAAGUUGCAAUAGCUAAUUGUUCCAAGGAUGAUGAGAAAUUGCUUGACUAUAAUGGUUUAGCAGGAAAGCUUCAUGAGUCAAUAGGGAAGAUGAAUAAUGACUAUGUGAGGAAGAUCCAUGCUGGUGGUGCGUACUUCCAGUUUCUAAGGAAAAAGGGCGAGGAGCUUGGGAAAAACCCUAACCUAAUGAAGGUGUUUGGUUUCAGUAGUUGGUGCAGAUUUCCAUUCUAUGAGGCUGAUUUUGGGUGGGGAAAGCCCACUUGGGUAGGCACUGCCUUGACACUCUACAAGGUUGCUAUUUUCAUAGACACCAAAGAUGGUCAAGGAAUAGAAGCGUGGGUUUCCUUGCCUAAGGAAGAUAUGGUGAAGUUUGAACAAAAUCCUGGCAUAUGUGCCUAUUCAUCUUUCAAGCCAAGCACUUAAAUAGUAUAUCAUCUACUCUUUUUAAGUAGGAGAGGAGAUAAGAACUAGUAAUUUAAUGGCAAAUUUCAUGUACUAUAAGUGCUUAGUUGUGGAUAAUAAGGACGUCCCAUAGAAAAACAACCUCAAAAGUGUUUUAUUAUGAGACGACAAAAUAUUAGCAGUAAACCGGGUGCUUAGUUGCUUGGUCGCUCUGCAUUCGGUAGGUUAGCAUGCAUGGCAAGAGUUGAUUAUGUGGAGUUGUAUUGUGAAUUAUGAUCAUUUAACUUAAUAAAGUUGAAUAUUAUCUUAUCAAA
rnacentral:misc_RNA from 1 species